AUUGAACGCUGGCGGCGUGCCUAACACAUGCAAGUCGAGCGGGUUAUUGGGGCUUGCCCUAAUAGUCAGCGGCGCACGGGUGAGUAACGCGUGGAUGAUCUACCCAACAGUUCGGGAUAACAGUUAGAAAUGAUUGCUAAUACCGGAUAUGAUUUCAUUUUCACAUAUGAAGUCAAAGACGGCCUCUGUAUAUGCUUUCGCUGUUGGAUGAGUCCGCGUCUCAUUAGGUAGUUGGUGUGGUAAUGGCUCACCAAGCCUGUGAUGAGUGGCCGACCUGAGAGGGUAAUCGGCCACACUGGGACUGGAACACGGCCCAGACUCCUACGGGAGGCAGCAGUGGGGAAUAUUGCGCAAUGGGCGAAAGCCUGACGCAGCGACGCCGCGUGAGGGAUGAAGGUUCUCGGAUCGUAAACCUCUGUCAGAAGGGAAGAAUAGCAUAGGUAGUAACUGACCUAUGUAUGACGGUACCUUCAAAGGAAGCACCGGCUAACUCCGUGCCAGCCGCCGCGGUAA
rnacentral:rRNA from 1 species